CCUUCGGGGGGCAGCAGUGAGGAAUAUUGGUCAAUGGACGAGAGUCUGAACCAGCCAAGUCGCGUGAAGGAUGACUGCCCUAUGGGUUGUAAACUUCUUUUAUAUGGGAAUAAAAUGCUCCACGUGUGGGAUUUUGUAUGUACCAUAUGAAUAAGGAUCGGCUAACUCCGUGCCAGCAGCCGCGGUAAUACGGAGGAUCCGAGCGUUAUCCGGAUUUAUUGGGUUUAAAGGGAGCGUAGGUGGAAUGUUAAGUCAGUUGUGAAAGUUGGAGGCUCAACCGUAAAAUUGCAGUUGAAACUGGCAGUCUUGAGUACGGUAGAGGUGUGCGGAAUGCGUGGUGUAGCGGUGAAAUGCUUAGAUAUCACGAAGAACUCCGAUUGCGAAGGCAGUUCACUGGACUGCAACUGACACUGAGGCUCGAAAGUGUGGGUAUCGAACAGGAUUAGAUACCCCGGUAGUC
rnacentral:rRNA from 1 species